UGUUUGAUUACUUCCUUCUUUAUAUGUUGAGUUUGUUUUCUUGCAUAACACAGGUUCAUUGCUACUAUAUGUUGAGUUUGUUUUCUUGCAUAACACAGGUUCAUUGCUACAUGGAAUUUCACCUCUCGAGCACAUAGUAUAGAAAAAAGUAAGUAUACUGCUAAACCGGAUUUAGAGGCGGGCUCAACACAAUCACCUACUGGAACUUACGCUUCAACACCCAAUUCUGCUUAUGCAUCAGAUUCUCUUUAAACAAAGUAUGGGCCUGAUCCUGCUGUAGCUCUUAAUAGUAUAGUAUGGUUUCAAGUUUGCUU
rnacentral:lncRNA from 1 species